GAUGAACGCUAGCUACAGGCUUAACACAUGCAAGUCGCGGGGCAGCAUGGGGGUUGCUUGCAAUCCCCGAUGGCGACCGGCGCACGGGUGAGUAACGCGUAUCCAACCUGCCCUUCACCACGGGAUAACCCGGCGAAAGUCGGACUAAUACCGUAUGUUGUCCAUUGACGGCAUCCGAUUUGGACGAAAGGCUUGGCGGUGAGGGAUGGGGAUGCGUCCGAUUAGCCAGGCGGCGGGGUAACGGCCCACCGUGGCUACGAUCGGUAGGGGUUCUGAGAGGAAGGUCCCCCACACUGGAACUGAGACACGGUCCAGACUCCUACGGGAGGCAGCAGUGAGGAAUAUUGGUCAAUGGGCGUAAGCCUGAACCAGCCAAGUAGCGUGCAGGAUGACGGCCCUAUGGGUUGUAAACUGCUUUUAUGCGGGGAUAAAGUGGCCCACGUGUGGGCUUUUGCAGGUACCGCAUGAAUAAGGACCGGCUAAUUCCGUG
rnacentral:rRNA from 1 species